AGCAGCCGCGGUAAUUCCAGCUCCAAUAGCGUAUAUUAAAGUUGUUGCAGUUAAAAAGCUCGUAGUUGAACUUCGGGAUCAAUUAGUUGGUCAUGCCUUGGUAUGUACUGAUUUUAUUGGUUCUCACCUUCUAAAGAACUAUAAUGUCAUUUAUUUGAUGUUAUAGGGAAUUAGGACUGUUACCUUGAAAAAAUUAGAGUGUUUAAAGCAGGCUCACGCUUGAAUACAUUAGCAUGGAAUAAUGAAAUAGGACAUCGCAUUCUAUUUUGUUGGUUUCUAGGAUCGAUGUAAUGAUUAAUAGGGAUAGUUGGGGGCAUUAGUAUUCAAUUGUCAGAGGUGAAAUUCUUGGAUUUAUUGAAGACUAACUACUGCGAAAGCAUUUGCCAAGGAUGUUUUCAUUAAUCAAGAACGAAAGUUAGGGGAUCGAAGACGAUCAGAUACCGUCGUAGUCUUAACCAUAAACUAUGCCGACUAGGGAUCGGAUGAUGUUGAUUUUUUAAUGUACCCU
rnacentral:rRNA from 1 species